rnacentral:misc_RNA from 1 species
AACUUCUGUUUGCCCAUCCGUUUGAGGAUGAUAGGCAGAAGAGAAAUUCAGCUUGGUUCCACUCAAUCGAAACAAUUCGCGCCAAAAAUUACUGGUAAACACAGCAUCACGGUCGCUAACAAUGGACUCGGGUAAUCCAUGUAAGCGAAAAACAUGUGAGAAGAAAGCAUGGGCUAUGGUUACAGAAUUAUAGGGAUGCGAAAGUGGUAUGAAAUGGGCAAAUUUAGAAAAGCGAUCAACUACAACGAACAAAAUAGACUUGCCUUUCGCCUUGGGUAAAACCUCCACAAAAUCCAUCGAUAUAUCUGACCAUAUCUGAGAUGGAAGGGCUAAGGGCUGUAACAACCCAGCCGGAUGCAAAUUGGAUGACUUCUGUUGUUGACAAAUUGUGCAAAGAUUCAACAAAGUCUCGGAUAGCAGAUUUCAUGCCACGCCAAUAAAAUUCACUGCAAAUGCGAUGCAGCGUUUUCUGGAUGCCUUCAUGGGUACUAUUAUGUAUUUCUGCAAUUAUAGUAGGAAUUAGUAGAGAAGUUGAUGGAAGGAAAACCCGCUGAUUGUAAUGAAUGAGACCAUUGGAUACCGACCAUUCUGACCCGAGCUCGCCAUCUUCAACUUGGCGCCAUAACUGACUAAGAGAGUCGGUGUUGUUAAUCUCAGCUCGGAUAGCUUCCAACAAUGACAUUAUUGGUUGCGAAAUAGCCAUUAAAGUGCAUUGUUCUUCAUCUCGCCGAGAUAGUGCAUCAGCCACGAUAUUUUGUUGCCCAGCUUUAUACUCGACUCGAAAAUCAAAACCAAGUAAUUUGCUGAGCCAGUGCUGCUGUGGCGAGGUAGUAAGCCGUUGCUCAAGCAAAUAUUUCAAACUAUAAUGAUCAGUUCGGAUAAGAAACUGCCUUCCCCACAAAUAAGGGCGCCAAUGAACCACCGCUUUGGCCAAACCAAUUAAUUCUCACUCAUAUGUAGCCAGUUUAUGGUGUCGGUCAGCCAAUUUGCGACUGAAAAAAGCAAUGGGGUGGCUGCUCUGUUGAAGAACUGCACCGAUUCCUACACCCGAGGCAUCACAUUCGACUAUAAACUCAUCAUCAAAAUUAGGGAGUUGAAGAACAGGGGCUUGCGACAAUGCAGUUUUAAGUGCAUCAAAGGAAGUGGCAGCCUCAGCAGUCCAGUGAAAGCUAUUCUUUUUUAACAAACUCGUCAAUGGGUUAGCGGGCUGUCCAUAAUUACAAAUAAAUUUUCGGUAAUAUCCUGCUAGCCCAAGAAACCCUCGCAGUGCCUUAAUAGAAGUAGGUGGUGGCCAGUGUAGGAUGGCUGAAAUCUUGGAAAUGUCAACUGCAACACCAGCGACACUAAUGACAUGACAAAGAUAGGCCACUUGCUCUUCACCAAAGGAACAUUUGGAUCUUUUAAGGAAUAAUUGGUGAGAGCGAAGUAACUGAAACACUAUACGGACAUGUUGCAAAUGGUCUUCCCACGUUUUGUUGUAAAUCAAAAUAUCAUCAAAGAAAACCAGAACGAACUUGCAUAAGUAAGGCUGAAAUACCUCAUUCAUUAAUGCCUGGAAGGUGGAUGGAGCAUUGGUGAGGCCGAACGGCAUAACCAGAAAUUCGAAGUGCCCAUGAUGAGUGCAAAAGGCUGUUUUCUCUACAUCUUCAGCCGCCAUACGGACCUGGAAAUAUCCCGAUUUCAAAUCUAAUUUUGUGAAGUACCGAGCACCAUGGAGUUCAUCCAAUAACUCAUCCACUACUGGAAUCGGAAACUUAUCUUUAAUUGUUUUAGUAUUAAGCUCCCGGUAGUCGACACAGAAACGCCAUGUGCCUUCCCGUUUUUUAACAAGCAAAACUGGUGAUGAGUAAGGGGAAUGACUAGGGUGGAUGAUUCCUUGGCUAAGCAUUUCCUCACACUGCUUCUCAAUUUCUUCUUUCUGAAAAUGAGGAUAUCUGUAAGGCCGGACUACCACAGGUGCUGAACCCGGAAAUAAGAAUAUACGGUGGUCACAUGAACGAAUGGGAGGCAGCCCCUUGGGUUCUUGAAACAAAUCAGCAAAUUGUUUAAGAAUUCCCUUCAAUCAUUCUGCUUGUUGUUCAUUCAGAAGUUGUAGUCUUGGUCUAUGGUUAGGUUGGAGUCUCUGCAAUGUGACCUGUCUAUUUCCUAAUUUGAAACACAUAGUGAGAGUUGAAAAAUUCCACCAGAUAGGACCUAAUGUCAUCAGCCAUCGUACACCUAAAACCACAUCAAAUCCAUCUAGCGGGAUAACAUAUAAUU